GCCUACGGGGGGCAGCAGUAGGGAAUCUUCCACAAUGGGCGAAAGCCUGAUGGAGCAACGCCGCGUGGGUGAAGAAGGUCUUCGGAUCGUAAAACCCUGUUGUUAGAGAAGAAAGUGCGUGAGAGUAACUGUUCACGUUUCGACGGUAUCUAACCAGAAAACCACGGCUAACUACGUGCCAGCAGCCGCGGUAAUACGUAGGUGGCAAGCGUUAUCCGGAUUUAUUGGGCGUAAAGGGAACGCAGGCGGUCUUUUAAGUCUGAUGUGAAAGCCUUCGGCUUAACCGGAGUAGUGCAUUGGAAACU
rnacentral:rRNA from 1 species